GCGUAGUACGAUUUUGCUAGUACGGAGACGAGCUUCCAAGCAAACGCGUGGUCCACCUCCGAGUUAUUUCCUUUUCCAUCCUCUUCCCCGGUCUCCUCAACUCCCCUUUCGCUCUCACCCUCUGCUACCUCCUUCGUCCCUUGCCUUCCUCAAGUCCGCCGCCGCAGCUUGGACGGCACAAAUUAUUACCCGUCGCAGGUGCAUUUUUUCCUAUUCCCUCGCUCGUACGCCCUGCGCGCCUUACCGCGCUUCACUCCGAAACGUCCGUCGUGUGACAAGAAAUUACGAGAGCUCGGAAGCGCGACCCUUCGCCUCGCUCAAUUACCGGCGACGAGGGUAAACCUCUGCUCGAAGUGCACGUAAACUGCAGCAGCCGGCGCAGGAUCUUAGGAGAAAUCACGAUGGUUACCUGACAUACCAUCCUCUUCUCUCACUGUACACGCGUGAGCUGCAUUGACCGCUACUGAACUUUGAUGUGUUUCCUGCACAAAAUUCACCUCCGAAGUCAUAAAUUAGCUACCGGAGACCGAUGCGUUUCUCUUUGGCUGGCUCCCUCGAACCUGCACCAAUACCACGGGCCACCACUUCAGCGGGCUCAAAAGCAUCAAAAGCAAACGCCGGACAAACCUCAUCGGUCUGCUGGCGGCGAGAAUUAUGUAAUAUAACGUUCAAUCUG